rnacentral:rRNA from 1 species
UACGUAGGGUGCGAGCGUUAAUCGGAAUUACUGGGCGUAAAGCGUGCGCAGGCGGUUCGUUAAGUUCGUCGUGAAAGCCCCGGGCUCAACCUGGGAACUGCGAUGGAAACUGGCGGGCUUGAGUAUGGCAGAGGGGGGUGGAAUUCCGCGUGUAGCAGGUGAAAUGCGUAGAGAUGCGGAGGAACACCGAUGGCGAAGGCAGCCCCCUGGGCCAAUACUGACGCCUCAUGCACGAAAGCGUGGGGAGCAAACAGG